rnacentral:misc_RNA from 1 species
UCGAGUUUAUCCAACUCCCAACCCUUUGUGAACCUACCUUUAUGUUGCUUCGGCGGUGCCGCGCCGGGCUGCUCCCUCCUGGGGAGCUCCCGGGACCACGCGCCCGCCGGAGACCACAAACUCUUGAUUUUGCGAAAGCAGUAUUCUUCUGAGUGGCCGAAAGGCAAAAAACAAAUGAAUCA